rnacentral:misc_RNA from 1 species
AAAGAACUGGAAACUGAGAUAAGGGAGGGUAUUGCUGCUACCCUCAGUGUCAUCCCAGUGAAGAAAAAGGUUGAAAGUUUGAGAGAGAAACUAGCAUCACUCACCAAAGAUGAUGCGGAAAGUAAAGUCGUUGCAGAAAAUGGAAGAUGCUGAAACUAGCUCAUGAGUGCUAGCUUGGAUAGUAGUAUUAGAUUUUGGUUUUGGAAGAGUUUUUU